GAAUAAAUUGGAAACAGCAAAGAAAUGAAGAUAUACUGAUGUCUCUCUCUGCAUUGGAACAGCGGCUCAUGGACAGUCUAGACAUGGUUCAGUUACCCGGGAAGAGGAAUAGGAAGGUUCCCUUGCUGCUGAAACCAGAGUGGGUAAAACAAAUGGAACUGCUGGUGGAAAAGCGCUCAGAGUGCAAUGUAACUGGUGAAUACUUCUUUGCUGUUCCUGGCAUGCAUAGCUCCUUGGAAGGUAAUGCAGUAGUCUGCUAUAGAUGCUAUUUGUUCAAGGCCUGAUCUUAUUUCGACAACGAGGUUGAGAAAGUACACCGCUACAGUAACCCAGAUUCUUGGCUUGAAAUCUGGUGAGCUCGAGUGGCUGGGUAACCACCUUGGACACACUGUUGAAAUUCAUAAGGACUCGUAUCGCCUCCAUAAAUCAACAAUUGAAAUGGCCAAGGUUUCAAAAGUUCUUUUGGCAAUCGAGAGUGGAACAGCACGGAACUUCAAAGGAAAAUCAUUAGAUGAUAUAGAAC